CUCGUGUUCCUGCAGGCCAUCCACCCCGCGUGUCUCGCUGCACAGCAGAGAGGGCAGGACACACUGGAGCCGCACUGCUGCAAGGCGGCUGUGGUGGAGAGGAUUGUGGAGCUCAUUGAGGAGCUUCCUGAUGACUCUCCACCCGGUGCUGUCCUGGCCAACUGCCUGAUCUCUGUGGCCAACCUCAGCAGCAUGACACCUGCUCUGGAGCCAGAGCUGGAGACUCACCUCCUCUGAGCUGCACUGCACACCAUCUUUACCCUGGGCACGCAGACAGACACCACCCAAGUCCAGGAUCUGCAUAGGGUCUUGCCAGACCUCCUGGGUGUCAUGUUGGGGA